UACGUAGGGUGCGAGCGUUGUCCGGAAUUACUGGGCGUAAAGAGCUCGUAGGUGGUUUGUCACGUCGUCUGUGAAAUUCCGGGGCUUAACCUCGGGCGUGCAGGCGAUACGGGCAAUACUUGAGUGCUGUAGGGGAGACUGGAAUUCCUGGUGUAGCGGUGAAAUGCGCAGAUAUCAGGAGGAACACCGAUGGCGAAGGCAGGUCUCUGGGCAGUAACUGACGCUGAGGAGCGAAAGCAUGGGUAGCGAACAGGAUUAGAUA
rnacentral:rRNA from 1 species